UACGUAGGGUGCAAGCGUUAAUCGGAAUUACUGGGCGUAAAGCGUGCGCAGGCGGUUAUGUAAGACAGGUGUGAAAUCCCCGGGCUUAACCUGGGAACUGCAUUUGUGACUGCAUAGCUAGAGUACGGCAGAGGGGGAUGGAAUUCCGCGUGUAGCAGUGAAAUGCGUAGAUAUGUGGAGGAACACCGAUGGCGAAGGCAGCCCCCUGGGUUAACACUGACGCUCAUGCACGAAAGCGUGGGGAGCAAACAGG
rnacentral:rRNA from 1 species